rnacentral:rRNA from 1 species
AUUGAACGCUGGCGGCAUGCUUUACACAUGCAAGUCGAACGGCAGCGCGGGCUUCUUCCUGGCGGCGAGUGUCGAACGGGUGAGUAAUGCAUCGGAACGUGCCCAGUAUUGGGUGAGAGCCCGGCGAAAGCCGUAUUAAUACCGCAUACGACGUGAUGGUGAAAGCGGGGGACCGAAAGGCCCGGCGGUAGGGGAGCGGACGAUGGCGGAGUAGCUAGUUGGUGGGGGAAAGGCUUACCAACGCUAGGAUGGGGAGCUGGUCUGAGAGGGUGACCGGCCACAUGGGGACCGAGAUAAGGCCCAGACUCCUACGGGAGGCAGCAGUGGGGAAUAUUGCACAAUGUGCGGAAGCCUGAUGCAGCAACGCCCCGUGCGGGAUGACGGCCUUCGGGUUGUAAACCGCUUGCGCCUGUGACGAAGCGGGAGUGACGGUAAUGUGUAAAGAAGCACCGGCUAACUACGUG